AGAGUUCCACCCAUCUUUUGUUUGACGUGUCAAACAAAACCACUGCGUGUGAAAACAAAUUUUACAUUUUGAAGCAUAUUUUCUCAACAUUUGAUGUUAAUUUGAAGAUUUCAUAAUUCGCAUAGCACAAGCAAGUUGUGUCCCACUUUGCAAGAAUCAAAAUAAUCCUUCACAUUUUUUCUAUGAAAUAUAGAAGGUAUGACGGCAAACAAUUACGCGAUCGUGCAGACCAUCGAAUAGGAAGAAGUGCUGCUCUCUGUUUUGCUGUCACGCUGGGUCCUGAAAAACGGCUGGAAGCAUGAAGACCAAGGCGAUGGCCAAGGAGAUGGUUAUGAUCUUUGCUUCUGGCCAAAAGGAGUAUCUGGUUAUCGACUACACAAAAAAGCAAAAAAAACGAAAAUUUCAGCGGAUAAUAAAGUGUUGAAGACAUACUGAUGCAAAAUCAAGCGCAAUAAUUUUUCUCUUUAUUCAGAGGCAUUCCGAGAGCUGAAACUUAUGGAAAUCUAAUCGGACACUAACGAUUACGAACCAAAGAAAAAAUUGAGCAAAACAACGACAGCAGCGGAACUUUUCAAGCAAAUUCAAUCAAGCUCAGCAUCGCGUCCAGGAUUUUCAUCCCCGCAUCCAUGCACGGGUUUUGAUCAAGGUGAUAUUGACAUGGAAGACACUUCUGAUCUAGAUGAAUCGUUUUUGAAGACUUCUGGAAAUCGCGAAGACCAUGCCAUGAAGAUACGUUGUUUGCCGAAAUCACAUUCACAGCCCCAGUAUAAGGAAACAAAAAGUAAUUCCGGACUAAGAACGCCUAUUCUUCAUUUUGAGGAUAUCAAGGGCACUCGAGCUUCUGUUGCCAGAAAACGAAUAAGGCCUAAGCAACAACAACAACACAUGAGAUUGCUCCAGAAAUCAUCGAUGAAGGAUCAGAUAUAAUUGUACAAGAAUUCGCUAUUGAACCAGAUCAUACAUUAUCGCCAAAUCAUUCGUCUAAAACUAUAUCGACGAAAAUGUGGACGUCAUUUACGAUGGUUUUCUUCCCGCUGAAUGAAACACCGGAAAUGAGUUGCUAUUGUUAACCCUAUGUAUCUUUUUGAAUAAGAACUCCAACAAAUGCAAUCAGUACAAUAUACUAUUUUUCAUAUAUUUUAUUCCAAAAA